UGGGUAACCUGCCUCAAAGAGGGGAAUAGCCUCCCGAAAGGGAGAUUAAUACCGCAUAAUAUGUUUAGGUCGCAUGACUUUAACAUCAAAGGAUUUUCUUUUAGAACUUCCACUUUGAGAUGGACCCGCGGCGCAUUAGCUAGUUGGUGAGGUAACGGCUCACCAAGGCAACGAUGCGUAGCCGACCUGAGAGGGUGAUCGGCCACAUUGGAACUGAGACACGGUCCAGACUCCUAGGGAG
rnacentral:rRNA from 1 species